rnacentral:tRNA from 3 species
UUUAAUGUGGUGUAUUUGCAUAUUACAUUUUGGUUGUAGGGGCAGUUGGUUACUCAUUAUUU